GCGACUCUCUGGUCUGUACUGACGCUGAGGUGCGAAAGCGUGGGUAGCAACAGGAUUAGAUACCCUGGUAGUCCACGCCGUAAACGAUGAGUGCUAGGUGUUAGGGGGUUUGAGCCCUUUAGGGCCGAAUUAAACCCAUUAAUCACCCCCCCGGGGGAGUCGGCCCCCAGGUUAAAACCUCAAAGAAUUUGCGGGGGCCCCCCCCAACGGGGGGACCGGGGGUUUAAUUUCAAACAACCGCAAAAAC
rnacentral:rRNA from 1 species